rnacentral:rRNA from 1 species
UACGUAGGAUGCAAGCGUUGUCCGGAAUUAUUGGGCGUAAAGAGAACGUAGGUGGCUUGUUAAGUUCGGUCUUAAAGACCGGGGCUCAACCCCGGGAAUGGACUGAAAACUGGCAGGCUAGAGGAUGUCAGAGGAUGGUGGAAUUCCCAGUGUAGCGGUGAAAUGCGUAGAUAUUGGGAGGAACACCUGUGGCGAAAGCGGCCAUCUGGGGCAUUCCUGACACUGAGGUUCGAAAGCUCGGGGAGCAAACAGGAUUAGAUACCCCAGUAGUCC